CAUGCAAGUCGAGCGGUAGCACAGGGAGAGCUUGCUCCCUGGGUGACGAGCGGCGGACGGGUGAGUAAUGUCUGGGAAACUGCCUGAUGGAGGGGGAUAACUACUGGAAACGGUAGCUAAUACCGCAUAACGUCGCAAGACCAAAGAGGGGGACCUUCGGGCCUCUUGCCAUCAGAUGUGCCCAGAUGGGAUUAGCUAGUAGGUGGGGUAAUGGCUCACCUAGGCGACGAUCCCUAGCUGGUCUGAGAGGAUGACCAGCCACACUGGAACUGAGACACGGUCCAGACUCCUACGGGAGGCAGCAGUGGGGAAUAUUGCACAAUGGGCGCAAGCCUGAUGCAGCCAUGCCGCGUGUGUGAAGAAGGCCUUCGGGUUGUAAAGCACUUUCAGCGAGGAGGAAGGUGGUGANCUUAAUACGNUCAUCAAUUGACGUUACUCGCAGAAGAAGCACCGGCUAACUCCGUGCCAGCAGCCGCGGUAAUACGGAGGGUGCAAGCGUUAAUCGGAAUUACUGGGCGUAAAGCGCACGCAGGCGGUUUGUUAAGUCAGAUGUGAAAUCCCCGGGGCUCAACCUGGGAACUGCAUUUGAAACUGGCAAGCUAGAGUCUCGUAGAGGGGGGGUAGAAUUCCAGGGGUAGCCGGGUGAAAAUGCGUAGAGAUCUGGAGG
rnacentral:rRNA from 1 species